rnacentral:rRNA from 23 species
CCAAACGACUCUCGGCAACGGAUAUCUCGGCUCUCGCAUCGAUGAAGAACGUAGCGAAAUGCGAUACUUGGUGUGAAUUGCAGAAUCCCGUGAACCAUCGAGUCUUUGAACGCAAGUUGCGCCCGAAGCCGUCAGGCCAAGGGCACGUCUGCCUGGGCGUCAC